UACGGAGGGUGCGAGCGUUGUCCGGAAUCAUUGGGCGUAAAGGGCGCGUAGGUGGCUCAGUAAGCGUGCGGUGAAAGCUCGGGGCUCAACCCCGAGUCGGCCGUGCGAACUACUGGGCUGGAGCACUGUAGAGGCAGGCGGAAUUCCGGGUGUAGCGGUGGAAUGCGUAGAGAUCCGGAGGAACACCAGUGGCGAAGGCGACACGCUGGGCCGUACCUGACACUGAUGCGCGAAAGCGUGGGGAGCAAACAGG
rnacentral:rRNA from 1 species